UGGAGGGCAAGUCUGGUGCCAGCAGCCGCGGUAAUUCCAGCUCCAAUAGCGUAUAUUAAAGUUGUUGCAGUUAAAAAGCUCGUAGUUGAAUUUCGGGGUUCUACCGUUGGUCGGGCUUUGUCUGUACUGGUGUGUAGAAUUUCUACCUUCUGGGGAACCAUCAUGCUAUUAAUUUAGCGUGGUGGGAAACCAGGACCUUUACCUUGAAAAAAUUAGUGUGUUCAAAGCAGGCUUAUGUCUGAAUACAUUAGCGUGGAAUAAUAGAAUAGGACGGUGGUCCUGUUUUGUUGGUUUCUGAAUCACCGUAAUGAUUAAUAGGGAUAGUUGGGGGCAUUAGUAUUCAAUUGUCAGAGGUGAAAUUCUUGGAUUUAUUGAAGACUAACUUCUGCGAAAGCAUUUGCCAAGGAUGUUUUCAUUAAUCAAGAACGAAAGUUAGGGGAUCAAAGACGAUCAGAUACCGUCGUAGUCUUAACCAUAAACUAUGCCGACUAGGGAUCGGACGAUGUUAAUUUUUCUUGACUCGUUCGGCGCCUUACGGGAAAC
rnacentral:rRNA from 1 species